rnacentral:rRNA from 1 species
CGAAGCGUGCGAUUGGAUUGCACGUCUAAGCAGUAAGGCUGAGUAUUAGGCAAAUCCGGUACUCAUUAAGGCUGAGCUGUGAUGGGGAGAAGACAUUGUGUCUUCGAGUCGUUGAUUUCACACUGCCGAGAAAAGCCUCUAGAUAGAAAAUAGGUGCCCGUACCGCAAACCGACACAGGUAGUCAAGAUGAGAAUUCUAAGGUGAGCGAGCGAACUCUCGUUAAGGAACUCGGCAAAAUGACCCCGUAACUUCGGGAGAAGGGGUGCUCUUUAGGGUUAACGCCCAGAAGAGCCGCAGUGAAUAGGCCCAAGCGACUGUUUAUCAAAAACACAGGUCUCUGCUAAACCGUAAGGUGAUGUAUAGGGGCUGACGCCUGCCCGG